rnacentral:rRNA from 1 species
UCGUCAGCUCGUGUCGUGAGAUGUUGGUUAAGUCCCAUAACGAGCGCAACCCUUACCCUUAUUUGCCAGCGAUUCGGUCGGGAACUAUAAGGGACUGCCGGUGAUAAACCGGAGGAAGUGAGGACGACGUCAAGUCAUCAUGGCCCUUACCGUGUAGGGCUACACACGUGCUACAAUGGGGAGUACAGAUAGACCUAAAGCGCGAGCUGGUGCUAAUCUCAUAAAACUCUUCGUAGUCCGGAUUGCAGUCUGCAACUCGACUGCAUGAAGUCGGAAUCGCUAGUAAUCGCGAAUCAGCAUGUCGCGGUGAAUACGUUCUCGGGUCUUGUACACACCGCCCGUCACACCAUGGGAGUGUAUUGCACCAGAAGUGGGUAGUCUAACUUCGGGAGGGCGCUCACACGGUGUGGUCCAUGACUGGGGUG